UGCCUAAUACAUGCAAGUCGAACGAGUUCUCGUUGAUGAUCGGUGCUUGCACCGAGAUUCACAUGGAACGAGUGGCGGACGGGUGAGUAACACGUGGGUAACCUGCCCUUAAGUGGGGGAUAACAUUUGGAAACAGAUGCUAAUACCGCAUAGAUCCAAGAACCGCAUGGUUCUUGGCUGAAAGAUGGCGUAAGCUAUCGCUUUUGGAUGGACCCGCGGCGUAUUAGCUAGUUGGUGAGGUAAUGGCUCACCAAGGCGAUGAUACGUAGCCGAACUGAGAGGUUGAUCGGCCACAUUGGGACUGA
rnacentral:rRNA from 1 species